UGGGGAAUAUUGGACAAUGGGGGCAACCCUGAUCCAGCCAUGCCGCGUGAGUGAUGAAGGCCUUCGGGUUGUAAAGCUCUUUUGGCGGGGACGAUGAUGACGGUACCCGCAGAAUAAGCCCCGGCUAACUUCGUGCCAGCAGCCGCGGUAAGACGAAGGGGGCUAGCGUUGUUCGGAAUUACUGGGCGUAAAGCGAGUGUAGGCGGUUGCCGUAGUCAGGUGUGAAAGCCUUGAGCUCAACUCAAGAAAUGCACUUGAUACUGGGUGACUAGAGGACCGGAGAGGAUAGUGGAAUUCCCAGUGUAGUGGUGAAAUACGUAGAGAUUGGGAAGAACACCAGUGGCGAAGGCGGCUAUCUGGACGGUUACUGACGCUAAGACUCGAAAGCGUGGGGAGCAACAGGAUUAGAUACCCUGGUAGUCCACGCCGUAAACGAUGGGUGCUAGACGUUGGCGAGCUUGCUCGUCAGUGUCGCAGCUAACGCGUAAGCACCCGCUGGGGAGUNACGGCCGCAAGGUUGAACUCAAUGAAUUGACGGGGG
rnacentral:rRNA from 1 species